UACGUCCGGAGUUUAAAGAGGAUGAGAACCUCCGAAGGAGGUUUGAGCCGGGCGUCAGCGAGACAACGUUGCUUCAGCAACGGUCCGCAGGGGCAUCAUCCUCUCCCGCCGACCA
rnacentral:sRNA from 1 species